rnacentral:snRNA from 1 species
AUCGCUUCUCGGCCUUUUGGCUAAGAUCAAGUGUAGUAUCAAAAAUGGAGAAACACACCAUUUCUCUUUUAUUUGUGUAUGAGCACAAUGUAUGUUUUUCAUCCCUCUUUGUUCUGUGUUCUCUCUUCCACAUGCGGUAAGUGGCAACUUUAA